rnacentral:rRNA from 1 species
GACUACUGGGGUAUCUAAUCCCAUUCGCUCCCCACGCUUUCGUCCAUGAGUGUCAGAUUCGUCCUAGCAAACUGCCUUCGCAUUUGGUGUUCUUGCUGAUAUUAAUGGAUUUAACCCCUACACCAGCAAUUCCGUUUGCCUCUUCCGAUCUCUAGCUUACCCAUCUCUUCCGCAGCCUCCGGGUUGGGCCCGAAGAUUUAACAGAAGAUGCGGCAAGCCACCUGCGGACGCUUUACGCCCAAUAAAUCCGGAUAACGCUUGGGGCCCUCGUAUUACCGCUGCUGCUGGCACGAGGUUAGCAGCCCCUUAUUCAACUGCUACCAUCAUUGUUUUGUCACAGUUAAAAGUACUUUACACCCCGAGGGGCUUCUUCGUACACGCGGCGUCGCUCCUUCAGACUUUCGUCCAUUGAGGAAGAUUCUCGACUGCAGCCCCCCGUAGG